rnacentral:tRNA from 1 species
GGUGAGGUACCCAAGUGGCUGAAGGGGCUGGUUUGCUAAACCGGUAGGGGGGAGAAAUCCCCCGCGAGGGUUCGAAUCCCUCCCUCACCGCCA